UACAGAGGGUGCGAGCGUUAAUCGGAAUUACUGGGCGUAAAGCGCGCGUAGGCGGCUUUGCAAGUCGGGUGUGAAAUCCCCAGGCUUAACCUGGGAACUGCAUUCGAGACUGCAGUGCUAGAGUAUGGGAGAGGGAAGUGGAAUUUCAGGUGUAGCGGUGAAAUGCGUAGAUAUCUGAAGGAACAUCAGUGGCGAAAGCGACUUCCUGGACCAAUACUGACGCUCAUGUGCGAAAGCGUGGGGAGCAAACAGG
rnacentral:rRNA from 1 species